GGAUGUGAGGGGAGGCGGCGGGGCCCGGCGGGGGCGGCCCCGAGGUGAGGCCCGGGGGGGACUGGGGGGGUAUCGGGGGGGUACCGGGGGUGCCCACGGUGGUGGGCAGGGGGCCGCGGCCCCGCUCCGCCGGAGCUGGGGGCGUUGAGGCCGGAGAGGGUCCGGGGAGAGCUGGGAUCGGCCUGGCCGUGCCUGAGGGGGCUUCGGUGUUAGGGGUUUCCUGCUGUGACCAUGCGCAUGUGCCACCAAGAGCAGCCCUCUCCGACACCGCGUGGUUUAAACCGACUGCUGGAGGAGGAUCCCUCGCAGCACGGGAGGGUCCUGUCUGGCUU
rnacentral:lncRNA from 1 species